GAUGAACGCUAGCGACAGGCUUAACACAUGCAAGUCGAGGGGCAGCAUAAAAGUAGCAAUACUUUGGUGGCGACCGGCGCACGGGUGAGUAACGCGUAUGCAACCUACCUAUCAGAGGGGAAUAACCCGGCGAAAGUCGGACUAAUACCGCAUAAAACAGGGGCACCGCAUGGUGAUAUUUGUUAAAGAAAUUCGCUGAUAGAUGGGCAUGCGUUCCAUUAGGUAGUUGGUGAGAUAACGGCUCACCAAGCCAACGAUGGAUAGGGGAACUGAGAGGUUGGCCCCCCACACAAGUGCUGCGACACGGACCAGACCCCGACGGGAGGAAGCAGUGAGCAAUAUAAGUCAAUGGGCGAGAGCCUGAACCAACCAGGUCGCGUGAAGGAAGAAGGUUCUAUGGUUCGUAAACUUCUUUUGCAGGGGAAUAAAGUGCGGAACGUGUCCUGUUUUGUAUGUACCCUGAGAAUAAGGAUCGGCUAACUCCGUGCCAGCCGCCGCGGUAA
rnacentral:rRNA from 1 species